AUUGAACGCUGGCGGCAGGCCUAACACAUGCAAGUCGAGCGGAUGAAGGGAGCUUGCUCCUGGAUUCAGCGGCGGACGGGUGAGUAAUGCCUAGGAAUCUGCCUGGUAGUGGGGGAUAACGUCCGGAAACGGGCGCUAAUACCGCAUACGUCCUGAGGGAGAAAGUGGGGGAGCUUCGGACCUCACGCUAUCAGAUGAGCCUAGGUCGGAUUAGCUAGUUGGUGGGGUAAACGCCUACCAAGGCGACGAUCCGUAACUGGUCUGAGAGGAUGAUCAGUCACCCUGGAACUGAGACACGGUCCAGACUCCUACGGGAGGCAGCAGUGGGGAAUAUUGGACAAUGGGCGAAAGCCUGAUCCAGCCAUGCCGCGUGUGUGAAGAAGGUCUUCGGAUUGUAAAGCACUUUAAGUUGGGAGGAAGGGCAGUAAGUUAAUACCUUGCUGUUUUGACGUUACCAACAGAAUAAGCACCGGCUAACUUCGUG
rnacentral:rRNA from 1 species